rnacentral:tRNA from 1 species
GCCAAUAUAGUUAAAUGGCAUAACAAAUCCAUGGUAAGGAUUAGUUCGGUGUUCGAUUCACCGUAUUGGCA